rnacentral:rRNA from 2 species
AAAUUGAAGAGUUUGAUCAUGGCUCAGAUUGAACGCUGGCGGCAGGCCUAACACAUGCAAGUCGAACGGUAACAGGAAGCAGCUUGCUGCUUUGCUGACGAGUGGCGGACGGGUGAGUAAUGUCUGGGAAACUGCCUGAUGGAGGGGGAUAACUACUGGAAACGGUGGCUAAUACCGCAUAACGUCGCAAGACCAAAGAGGGGGACCUUCGGGCCUCUUGCCAUCAGAUGUGCCCAGAUGGGAUUAGCUUGUUGGUGAGGUAACGGCUCACCAAGGCGACGAUCCCUAGCUGGUCUGAGAGGAUGACCAGCCACACUGGAACUGAGACACGGUCCAGACUCCUACGGGAGGCAGCAGUGGGGAAUAUUGCACAAUGGGCGCAAGCCUGAUGCAGCCAUGCCGCGUGUAUGAAGAAGGCCUUCGGGUUGUAAAGUACUUUCAGCGGGGAGGAAGGUGUUGUGGUUAAUAACCACAGCAAUUGACGUUACCCGCAGAAGAAGCACCGGCUAACUCCGUGCCAGCAGCCGCGGUAAUACGGAGGGUGCAAGCGUUAAUCGGAAUUACUGGGCGUAAAGCGCACGCAGGCGGUCUGUCAAGUCGGAUGUGAAAUCCCCGGGCUCAACCUGGGAACUGCAUUCGAAACUGGCAGGCUUGAGUCUUGUAGAGGGGGGUAGAAUUCCAGGUGUAGCGGUGAAAUGCGUAGAGAUCUGGAGGAAUACCGGUGGCGAAGGCGGCCCCCUGGACAAAGACUGACGCUCAGGUGCGAAAGCGUGGGGAGCAAACAGGAUUAGAUACCCUGGUAGUCCACGCCGUAAACGAUGUCUACUUGGAGGUUGUGCCCUUGAGGCGUGGCUUCCGGAGCUAACGCGUUAAGUAGACCGCCUGGGGAGUACGGCCGCAAGGUUAAAACUCAAAUGAAUUGACGGGGGCCCGCACAAGCGGUGGAGCAUGUGGUUUAAUUCGAUGCAACGCGAAGAACCUUACCUGGUCUUGACAUCCACAGAAGAAUCCAGAGAUGGAUUUGUGCCUUCGGGAACUGUGAGACAGGUGCUGCAUGGCUGUCGUCAGCUCGUGUUGUGAAAUGUUGGGUUAAGUCCCGCAACGAGCGCAACCCUUAUCCUUUGUUGCCAGCGAUUAGGUCGGGAACUCAAAGGAGACUGCCAGUGAUAAACUGGAGGAAGGUGGGGAUGACGUCAAGUCAUCAUGGCCCUUACGACCAGGGCUACACACGUGCUACAAUGGCGUAUACAAAGAGAAGCGACCUCGCGAGAGCAAGCGGACCUCAUAAAGUGCGUCGUAGUCCGGAUUGGAGUCUGCAACUCGACUCCAUGAAGUCGGAAUCGCUAGUAAUCGUGGAUCAGAAUGCCACGGUGAAUACGUUCCCGGGCCUUGUACACACCGCCCGUCACACCAUGGGAGUGGGUUGCAAAAGAAGUAGGUAGCUUAACCUUCGGGAGGGCGCUUACCACUUUGUGAUUCAUGACUGGGGUGAAGUCGUAACAAGGUAACCGUAGGGGAACCUGCGGUUGGAUCACCUCCUUACCUGAAAGAAGC